rnacentral:misc_RNA from 1 species
AACCAUAGAAACCUGCGGAGUACCUGCGGAAGGAUCAUUACAGAGUUGAAAAACUCCCUAACCCUUUGUUUAUAUACCUGUUCAGUUGCUUCGGCAGGCGGCCCCAGGGCGGGGCCUCCAGCCUGCUCACGCAGGUGCCUGCCGCUGGCGCAAAAAACUCUUUGUUAUAUGUUACCACUCUGAGUCUAAAAAAAAUGAAUCAAAACUUUUAACAACGGAUCUCAGAUCGGAAGAGCACAC